GUGCUUCCUUCCACAGCAUACAUACUAAAUUGGAAUAAUACAGACAAGAUUAGCACUGCCCUUACACAAGGAUGACAUGCAAAUUUGUAAAGCAUUCCAUAUUUUU
rnacentral:snRNA from 1 species